GACGAACGCUGGCGGCGUGCUUAACACAUGCAAGUCGAGCGGAAAGGCCACUUCGGUGGUACUCGAGCGGCGAACGGGUGAGUAACACGUGAGUAAUCUGCCCCUGGCUUUGGGAUAGCCACCGGAAACGGUGACUAAUACCGGAUACGACCACUUCUCGCAUGGGAUGGUGGUGGAAAGUUUUUUCGGCCAGGGAUGUGCUCGCGGCCUAUCAGCUUGAUGGUGAGGUAAUGGCUCACCAUGGCUUCGACGGGUAGCCGGCCUGAGAGGGUGACCGGUCACACUGGGACUGAGACACGGCCCAGACUCCUACGGGAGGCAGCAGUGGGGAAUAUUGGACAAUGGGCGGAAGCCUGAUCCAGCAACGCCGCGUGAGGGAUGACGGCCUUCGGGUUGUAAACCUCUUUCAGUACCGACGAAGCGCAAGUGACGGUAGGUACAGAAGAAGCACCGGCCAACUACGUGCCAGCCGCCGCCGUAACAC
rnacentral:rRNA from 1 species